UGGGGAAUUUUGGACAAUGGGCGAAAGCCUGAUCCAGCAAUGCCGCGUGUGUGAAGAAGGCCUUCGGGUUGUAAAGCACUUUUGUCCGGAAAGAAAUCCUUGGCUCUAAUACAGUCGGGGGAUGACGGUACCGGAAGAAUAAGCACCGGCUAACUACGUGCCAGCAGCCGCGGUAAUACGUAGGGUGCAAGCGUUAAUCGGAAUUACUGGGCGUAAAGCGUGCGCAGGCGGUUUGCUAAGACCGAUGUGAAAUCCCCGGGCUCAACCUGGGAACUGCAUUGGUGACUGGCAGGCUAGAGUAUGGCAGAGGGGGGUAGAAUUCCACGUGUAGCAGUGAAAUGCGUAGAGAUGUGGAGGAAUACCGAUGGCGAAGGCAGCCCCCUGGGCCAAUACUGACGCUCAUGCACGAAAGCGUGGGGAGCAAACAGGAUUAGAUACCCUGGUAGUCCACGCCCUAAACGAUGUCAACUAGUUGUUGGGGAUUCAUUUCCUUAGUAACGUAGCUAACGCGUGAAGUUGACCGCCUGGGGAGUACGGUCGCAAGAUUAAAACUCAAAGGAAUUGACGGGU
rnacentral:rRNA from 1 species